rnacentral:rRNA from 1 species
GAUGAACGCUGGCGGCGUGCCUAAUACAUGCAAGUCGAGCGAACAGACGAGGAGCUUGCUCCUCUGACGUUAGCGGCGGACGUGUGAGUAACACGUGGAUAACCUACCUAUAAGACUGGGAUAACUUCGGGAAACCGGAGCUAAUACCGGAUAAUAUAUUGAACCGCAUGGUUCAAUAGUGAAAUACGGUUUUGCUGUCACUUAUAGAUGGAUCCGCGCCGCAUUAGCUAGUUGGUAAGGUAACGGCUUACCAAGGCGACGAUGCGUAGCCGACCUGAGAGAGUGAUCGGCCACACUGGAACUGAGACACGGUCCAGACUCCUACGGGAGGCAGCAGUAGGGAAUCUUCCGCAAUGGGCGAGAGCCUGACGGAGCAACGCCGCGUGAGUGAUGAAGGUGUUCGGAUCGUAAAACUCUGUUAUUAGGGAAGAACAAAUGUGUAAGUAACUAUGCACGUCUUGACGGUACCGAAUCAGAAAGCCACGGCUAACUACGUG